rnacentral:rRNA from 1 species
AACGAACGCUGGCAGCAUGCCUAACACAUGCAAGUCGAACGAGACCUUCGGGUCUAGUGGCGCACGGGUGCGUAACGCGUGGGAACCUGCCCUUAGGUUCGGAAUAACUCCCCGAAGGGGGUGCUAAUACCGGAUAAUGUCUUCGGACCAAAGAUUUAUCGCCUUUGGAUGGGCCCGCGUUGGAUUAGCUAGUUGGUAGGGUAAAAGCCUACCAAGGCGACGAUCCAUAGCUGGUCUGAGAGGAUGAUCAGCCACACUGGGACUGAGACACGGCCCAGACUCCUACGGGAGGCAGCAGUGGGGAAUAUUGGACAAUGGGCGAAAGCCUGAUCCAGCAAUGCCGCGUGAGUGAUGAAGGCCUUAGGGUUGUAAAGCUCUUUUACCCGGGAUGAUAAUGACAGUACCGGGAGAAUAAGCUCCGGCUAACUCCGUG